CGAAAGUAAAUCUAGGUAUACGGAGACAGAUCGAUCAAUUCUUGAGAAGAUGAGAAUGUUAGUAAAAGUUCUUCAUCAUCAUCAGUGGAUCAAGAUGAAAGAAAGUUACUUGCUGGCUCGUACUGGCUAGUUAGAAUAUUGUUCAUUAGAUCAUCUUCAGCUAUUUACUUUAUUAAAAGGAGUUAUUAAUACUGACGAUCACUUCUUUCAUAGCAUAAUUCAGUUAAAAGAAUCAGUUGACGUAUCAUAACUUGAUAUCAAAAGGGUAAUACUACCCUGCUUCAUUUUUAUCACCUUUUGUCAACGAGAUUGAGCAUAUUCAUUCAAAAUGAAUCAAUACGUGUUAUUAGUGGUUGUGUCCUUCCCUCAUCGUCCUCCAUUAUAGCCACGCCCAUGUAUCCCGUCCCUCUUCUCUCAACUCCCCUCAGCUCCAAUCUCACUGGAGCACUACCACUCUCAGUACUACAGGGAAGAGUUAGGAGUGGUUUUUUGACGGUGAACGAAACGCGAAGACUUGUUCUACUGCUGGGCAGUGAUAGCCACGUCUGCACUGUACCACUAAUUGGAAUUUGGAUAAGUGAUGUAUCAAUAUCUCAUCCACUAGUCUGGUCUAUGUUACUCCAUUUCUCUCAUUUCCCUUCUCUUCAUAAAGUAAACCACAACGGGUCCUACCUCCUUCUCCUCACCUGUCGUCAUGAUUACCAGGUAUGGGAGUGGUCACCUGAGCGUCUAGAGUGAGCAUGGCACAUGACAUCAACUGAAACACUAAAAUUUCUGAUAAGUAUUUGAGUUUCUAUAUGAUAUCAGUGAUAGAUGGUAUGGCUGGCCACACCCUUCUCACCUCCGCCAGUCUCCAUGGCAACUGAAAAACCAUCACAAUGAGAGCUUACCACUUCCUACCUGACGCCAAACGGUCCUCCCACUGUUGUUAAAAGAGACAGUGAUCUGUCUUGUGUUAGUGUCUUCAGUUUAAGUGAAGGGAAUCAGAAAGAGGAGAAGGAGGCGAAAAGGCAUCAAUAACUUGUAGAACAGGAGCUAUUAUUAGAUAAUGUUUAUAGACAGGCAAGAGAGCUAUUUGAUGAUAAACCUCAUCAACACAUCACUAAUAAUAAUACACCAACAGUCUCUGGCAAAGCCACACCCACCAUCACCAUGGCAACCAGUAAUCAUCACAAAAGUGCUGACUCAUCAAAAUUAUCGAUUACGACACCUGAAAUUAUGACACCUAACAGUACUGUUACUAUAGCAACCAACACUGGGCGGAGUCUACUUUUUAGUGACACUCCCACUUGCAAUUGGAGCAUUUAAGUAUCUGACUUUAAUAAGAAAGGUUUUGGCAUUUCCAUAGCAACACAAGCCAGCUCUGGGUGUAGCUCAUCACUCUCUCCUCCUUGCUCUUUAAGGAUGCUCUCCGAUACAGUUUUCAUGGCAACAGGAGCUGAUAGGACAAUGAGUUUGGUAGCUUCAGUCAUGGGUUUGGGGGUGUGGCUUCUAGUUGCUAUGACAACAGUGAAUGUGAUGCUUUUGUUUAUGAAGCAAAAGUAAGAACAUGCAUGCUACAAUGUGCAUGUACAUGUAAAUAAUUUAUUAUUUACAUGUACAUGCACAUGUUGCCAAGUGGCAUGAACAGGAUUUCCCACAGGUUUUUGGCAUAGUGCUCAGCAUUUUGACGGUGGGUAGCAUCCUGUACUAUAGGAAAAGGUGUAAUACAUGUAGAU
rnacentral:lncRNA from 1 species